UCUCAGAUUGUUAAAAAUACAUUGCUUGAGGCCGGAAUACAAUUUAGAGAGCCAUUUUUUAGGGAGAUCCUUUAUUUGAACAUGUGCGUGCAAGAGGAACCAGACGUGAACGGAUGGGGCAUAGAGGUAGAGCUCGAGGAUACGCUCUAGGACGUGGCGCUGGUGGUAUACCUAUUCCUCCAGACAUAGAGGCAGAGGUGAGAGUAGAGGCUGAUGAUUUGCAUGUUCAUCAGUUUGGCACGUCAAACAUCAUGAAUUUAUUACAUAUGUCAUUUGAUCUUAUUCAAGAUAGACUCGAGAUGUGGAAGGAAUCGGACGUAUGAGUUAUGAAUCAACAAUAGAUGUUGGAGAUUAUUUAUCUGAUAUCGCGGUAAGCAUUAACAAUUUAUUAUAAACUUAAAACAUUACUAACUUAUAUAAGUAUUUCAAAAUAAAUAAAUAAAACUAUUUAUAUAUUUUUGUAGGGCACAUCAGGUAUUGUCCAUUGUGACACCAAAGAUACUACUAUUUAUAACACUCAAGAUUUUAUUGAAUGGUUAAUUGAUGAUCUGAUUGAGUCGCAGAUUCGUGUUAUUUAUCUAUUUAAUACAGUUAUUUCCUUUAAUUACUGAAUGAGGGGGUCUUUUGUUUUUCUUUUGUUUUAGCUAUUGAGAAUUCGAGAAAAGAUGGAAUCGUCAACUUAUGCCUUACAUUAUACUUUUUUUUUCAUUUUUGCUUUACAGGGAAUUUUUGUAUUUUUGUCAUUUAUUUUUGAAAUAUUUAUAGUAGUUAUUAACACUUUGAUUUUAUAUUAAAUUAUGUUUUAAUUAUUUUUUAGAUUCAUACUACGGGACCUUCAUCUACAGUGGAGGAGAGUGACAAUCAUAGAGGAUAUUGUUCCGACAGUUAAUGAGGGUCCCAAUGUUACACAGGUUUAUGUUAUUUAUUUAUUUUUGAAAUGUUUAUAUUAAUUAUUAAAACUUUGAUUUUGUAUUAAAUUUAGUUUUAAUAAUUUUAGAUUCAUACUACGGGCCCUUUAUCUACAGUGGAGGAGAGGCCCACGACAAUCAUAGAGGAUAUUAUUCCGACAGUUAAUGAGGGUCCCGAUGUUACACAACUUUGUGUUAUUUAUUUAUUUUUAAAAUAUUUAUAUUAAUUAUUAAAACUUUUAUUUUAUAUUAAAUUAAGUUUUAAUAAUUUUAGAUUCAUACUACGGGCCCUUCAUCUACAGUGGAGGAGAGUCCACGACAAUCAUAGAGGCUAUUGUUCCGACAGUUAAUGAGGGUCCCGAUGUUACACAGAUUCAUACUACGGGACCUUCAUCUACAGUGGAGGAGAGUCCCACGAUGAUCAUAGAGGAUGUUGUUCGACAGUUAAUGAGGAUCCCAAUGUUACACAGGUUUAUGUUAUUUUAUUUUUUUUGAAAUAUUUAUAUUAUUUAUUUUGUAGACUUUUAUUUUGCAUCACAUUGCAUAUUCCUAUCAUUUAUACUUUUAUUUUUUUAAUUUCUACUACCUAACUUUGUAUUUGCAGACCACGUUAUCACCACUCUCGACUCCAGAUGUUACUUUCAUUAUGUCAGUGGAUGAUAUGCCGCAAACACCCGAAAGAAAAAAACUUGUUAAAAGAAUUGUAAAGAAUGUGAACAUAAAGGAUCUUCCGACUGAAAAAAGGAAGAGGAACAAUGAAGAUGAAGAUGGAUAUACGGGACUUAGACCGCGAGAUGUCUUACGAAUUUCAAAAAAGGAUUGUGGAACAUAAUAUUAUUAUAUUUGUGUAUGAAUCUUUUUUUGAGGGUGUAUAGUAAAUUAUUCUAAUCAUAUAUAGUUUUAUUUUGGUGUAUGUAUCUUUUUUUUUUCUGGUGUAUAGUAUUAUUGAUUUAGUUGUGUAUAUUAUUAUUAUUUUGUGUAUGUAUUUUUUUUCUUUUAAAAAGUGAAUAAAAAAAUUGAAAAUUUAAACAUGACUUGAAGAUGAUCAAAAGUUUGAAUAAAAAGUUGCAUAAAAAUUGAUACAAGAAUAAAUUAACACAAUUAAACAUCUUUCUUUAGCUACUACCACCAUAUGAGGCGUUUCGAGUUCGUGAAUGACAAUUGCGCCUAUCAUGGCCUAUUUGUUUGCACGUUGAGCACUUGCGAGUGAGUGUACUUGCAAGAACAUCCAUUUCAUUUUGUAUACGGGUGGUUUUAUUUACGCCCACUUUUCGUAAAUAAUUUUUAUUUGCUAUCAUAAGAAAGGGACUAUCAGGCCAAUACUUUUCACCGCCGAGUGGAUUGAAUUGUCCAAAGUAGGAUUUUUUGUAGCUACGCAAUUCUGGUGCCAUAUGCUCCCAUGCUUGAUACCCAAUUUGGUCAAAACCCUUUAUUGCAUGAGAACAUGGAAUAUGGUAUGAUUGCCAUUUACCACAUUGACAUUUUCCUUGUGAUGCAUUUA